GCGUCGGUGGUGCAUCGGUUUAGCAUAUGCUCCCGGAAAGAGCAGAUCUGGGGUCGAAUUCCAGCUGACGCA